UACAGAGGGGGCAAGCGUUGUUCGGAAUUACUGGGCGUAAAGGGCGCGUAGGCGGCUUGCUAAGUCGGACGUGAAAGCCCCGAGCUCAACUCGGGAACUGCGUCCGAUACUGACAGGCUUGAAUCCGGGAGAGGGAUGCGGAAUUCCAGGUGUAGCGGUGAAAUGCGUAGAUAUCUGGAGGAAUACCGGUGGCGAAGGCGGCAUCCUGGACCGGCAUUGACGCUGAGGAGCGAAAGCCAGGGGAGCAAACGGG
rnacentral:rRNA from 1 species